UACGUAGGGGGCAAGCGUUGUCCGGAUUUAUUGGGCGUAAAGAGCGUGUAGGCGGCCUGACAGGUCUGCUGUGAAAACUCGAGGCUCAACCUCGAGAUGUCGGCGGAAACCGUCUGGCUAGAGUCCGGGAAGAGGAGAGUGGAAUUCCUGGUGUAGCGGUGAAAUGCGCAGAUAUCAGGGAAGAACACCUAUGGCGAAGGCAGCUCUCUGGGACGGUACUGACGCUGAGACGCGAAAGCGUGGGGAGCGAACAGG
rnacentral:rRNA from 1 species